rnacentral:lncRNA from 1 species
AUCCUCUGUUCCAUGAAUAAAGGAGGAAGAAGAGGACAUGGGUCCUCUAUUCCAUGGAGAAAAAAAAAUCUUUAGGAAGAUGCCUUCAUGCAUGAGAUCGUCAAGAGGAGAUUUUUGAUUUGAGAUGUGAGAGGAGAUGGUGAGAUGAGUUUGGGGAUGGGAGCUAAGAAUUUUGAGAUGAGAUCGUCGGGAAGGGAAAGAAGAUGAAUAGAAGA